GUGUUUGCUUCAACAGCACAUAUACUAAAAUUUGAAUGAUACAGAGAUUAGCAUGGCCCCUGCACAAGGAUGAUGUGCAAAUUAUUAAAAUGUUUCAUAUCUUU